UACAAGUAGCAGAAAAGUGAGCUUAAUGGCUAUGGAGGAGGAGAAUAUCCCAGCUCAAGUUUUUUACAAUCCACUUCAAGUCACACGGGGUUGGGAGGAAUACUUGGAAUUGGAGGUUGCAAAAAGUAAUCUCAAUCAAAAUUUGCAUAACAGAUCAAUUUUGCUUAUAGAGAUGGAUUGAUGUAGAGAUGGUAAGCAGUCUUGGCCCAUCAAACUGCUACACUGUUAUUAUAAGUUUUCUGGUGUAGUUUUUUUUUUAACUAUCAAUUCAAUUCAAUAGAGUAAAGUUUAUUUUGGUCUUAUUUCUUUAUGAAUUUUCUAGUUUUUGCCAUUGAAUUA